UACGUAGGUGACCAGCGUUGUCCGGAUUUACUGGGCGUAAAGAGCGCGCAGGCGGUCGUUCAAGUCGAGUGUGAAAGCCCCCGGCUCAACUGGGGAGGGUCAUUCGAUACUGAUCGACUCGAAGGCAGGAGAGGGAAGUGGAAUUCCCGGUGUAGUGGUGAAAUGCGUAGAUAUCGGGAAGAACACCCGUGGCGAAGGCGGUUCUCUGGGACGGUACUGACGCUGAGACGCGAAAGCGUGGGGAGCGAACAGG
rnacentral:rRNA from 1 species